CAUUAGAUAACUUAAAUUAAAGUAUUAACCUUUUAAGUUAAAAAUAGAUUAAUCUUCUAAUGA
rnacentral:tRNA from 1 species